GGCGAAAUAUCUCCCAGCGCCGACUCCUUAAGCAAUUCGGUCGCGCGAUCUCUCUCUCGUGUUUGGCUCGCCGCUACGCGAAUACAGAUAUCCCAAACUCGGCGGUGAAAUACGUAUUACGACCUUCUCGCCGCCGACUUAUCCACCUAAAAGCUAACACCCGAUGCACCAAUCACCGCACGAGCAGCAUAACGGUAGACGCUCGCGCUUCGGCUGGGCAUUUCAUCGAACAAGUGCUACGCGCGACCGCGAAACUCUCUAAAACCCCACCAUGCCCUACUGCAACCUCGCCAAAGCCCCAGCGCUCCCGCUCCUCUCUCGAGUCCCCUCGAGCCCCAGAUUCUCCAUCCUCCCCCCACGCCCUCUCCCGCGUCCAUUUCCCACCUCCCUUUUCCCCGCUACCCCCAAAAGCACCAUCGUAGUUGCUGCAGGGAGUAGCAGUUUGUCGAAAGCUCGAAUCCUUUCUCGCGGGGGAUCCUCGGCGAGCUCCGCCCAUGUCGUGAAUUGGGUUGUUAGAAGCUUUUCGAGGAGCUCUGAUUUGAGGAGCAUGCAUAGCACGAGAGCUAGGGUUUUCUUCUCCGGCGUCUCGGGAGAGGUGGCUUCGGAGGACUACAGGAAUGAAAGAGCUGGAAAAGUGCUUCCUUGGAUAGCUUCAAAUGGGGAGAGAAGAAGAAGAGAUAAGGUUGCAAUGAAUAGCAGUGCAGUGAGGUCUAAUUCGUCCUCGUGGGAACGCUCGGCCGAGAAAUUCUUUGCUAGAAAUGGUGGGAAUGUGGGGAGAGAGAAUUUGGAUCACAUAGAUAGAAGUAGAACGGAAUUAGAAGAUUGGAGAUCGGCGAAGGAAGAGCAAAUUGAGGAGGAAGAGUAUGAGGAAGAUGUUGAGCCUAUAGAUAACCCGAAAUGGUAUAAAAUUAAGGAGAGGUACAAAGGUUUCGCCGAUAGAGAUUCUCGGUUCGAGAAACCGGAGGUUCAGCAGUGGAGUAAGCAGGAGAAUUGGGGUAGAAAGACGUGGAAAGAGGCAAAUGAGUCGACCGUGCCGAAAAUUGUCGGCCAAGGUGUUUAUGGGGUCGGCCCAGUUUUGGCGGCAUUGAUGGCGGGAAGGAGAGAGUUUUAUGCCCUAUAUGUUCAAGAAGGCUUGGAUUUGAGCGGAAAUAACAAGAAAAAGAAAGACAAGAAAGGAGUGGAGAAGGUCUUGAAAAUGGCAGAGAAAAUUGGAUUGAAGGUAAUUGAAGCUUCAAAGCAUGAUCUCAACAUGGCGGUCGACAGCCGCCCACAUCAGGGAUUAAUACUCGAUGCUUCUCCUUUAGAAAUGGUUAUUAUACGGGAAUUGGAACCGACUUUGAUAGAGGGCCAAAGAGCUCCGGUUUGGGUUGCUUUAGAUGAGGUUACUGAUCCUCAGAAUUUAGGAGCUAUUAUCAGAUCAGCUUACUUCUUUGGUGCAGAGGGAGUGGUUCUGUGCGCGAAGAAUUCCGCUCCUUUGAGCGGGGUAGUCAGUAAAGCAAGCGCGGGAUCUCUUGAACUGAUCGAAUUAAGAUCAUGUAAGAACAUGAUGCAGUUCUUGUCUAACUCAAUUGAGAACGGUUGGCGAGUUCUCGGAGGUUCAGUCUCCCCAAAGGCGCUUCCUUUAACUGAGGUUGGAGGUGCAAUGCCUACUAUACUUGUGUUGGGCAGUGAAGGAACUGGGUUGAGGCCUUUAGUGGAGAGGACCUGCACUCAAUUGGUUAGAAUUGCGGGUAAUACUGACGGGUAUAUUGAGGGAACAGGAACCGAUGUGGAGGAGGGAAAUCUGAGUAUUCUGGGGCAAGAUGCUAAGUCCUUCCUUGCAGUGGAGAGCUUGAAUGUUAGCGUGGCGGCGGGCGUGUUGCUUUACCAUUUAGUCGGGAGUAAUACUCCUUCCUCAAUACCAAAAUAUACAAAAAGGAUGGUUGCCGCUUGUGACCAAGGGGAACGUACAUAGUUAUAUAUGAAAUCAACGUAGAAGAUCCUCAAUAUCUAUUCAAACCUGUCACAAUUCCAAGCUCUGCUAGAGGUGUCGAUAUGCCAACUCACAUCUGGGUUGUGUCGAAUUUGGAUGCUCUUUUUGCUGUUCUUGAGAUAAUUUAUCAACAGGUUCAAGCUUUUUGCCCUGGAAUAAAUAGAACUCAUAUACCUGACCCCAAAUGGUUGGAACUGAAGUGGAAGUAAAUGCAUCGAAUUAGGCCAUUUAAUUUUCACCUUCAAAAUCUCAAUUUUGCUUUCUGUUGCUAUGGAAUCUUCGAUCCAGCGUCCCUGAAAAGCUCUAUUCGAGAUAUAUCUUUUGUUGAAACUAGAAGCAGAAGUUCGGCCAAGCAGGGAAUGGCGUGCUGAGAAUAACGACAGCCGCCCCACACCCCAACCAGAAACAAAACAAACAUUCAUGCUGCACCUAAGCUAAGAUGGUUUGAAUAAUAAUUUUAACUCCGUAUAUCUUUAAAAAAAAAACUUGGUGUUUCCUUAUUAAAGAUUAUACAUCUACAUUAAGAUGGUUUGAUUAAUAAUCUCAACUCCAUGUAUAUAAAAAAAAGAGGUUAUACAUCAACACUAAGAUGGUUGAAUAAUAAUCUCAACUGCAUAUACCAAAAGAUAAAAAAAAAAAAAGAAAAAAGAAAUGGUGUUUUCUUGGAGGCUAUUGGUGGAUGAUUUGGGGGGAAAGAAACAACGUGAUUUUUAAAAAUCAAUCUUCAGAUUCCCUAAUCGUUGUUAGACGAGCUCGAGACUUGGAAAGAGGUUAUAUAUCCAUCAAUGCAAUCUAGGAACAUAUGAAUACCUAAGAAGUGGUGGAAUUUGUGGAAGGAUGUAGGAUAUGAGAUGUGUGAUAUUUUGAUUCUGAAAUUUUAACUUAUUAUAAUUUUCGGCUCGAAAUUUUUAAAUUGUUUCAAUUAGAUCCCAUGGUA